UACGAAGGGGGGCUAGCGUUGCUCGGAAUCACUGGGCGUAAAGGGUGCGUAGGCGGGUCUUUAAGUCAGGGGUGAAGUCCUGGAGCUCAACUCCAGAACUGCCUUUGAUACUGAGGAUCUUGAGUUCGGGAGAGGUGAGUGGAACUGCGAGUGUAGAGGUGAAAUUCGUAGAUAUUCGCAAGAACACCAGUGGCGAAGGCGGCUCACUGGCCCGAUACUGACGCUGAGGAGCGAAAGCGAGGGGAGCGAACAGGAUUAGAUACCC
rnacentral:rRNA from 1 species